UACGGAGGAUCCGAGCGUUAUCCGGAUUCACUGGGUUUAAAGGGUGCGUAGGCGGGCAGGUAAGUCAGUGGUGAAAUCUCCGAGCUUAACUCGGAACUGCCGUUGAUACUAUUUGUCUUGAAUAUUGUGGAGGUAAGCGGAAUAUGUCAUGUAGCGGUGAAAUGCUUAGAUAUGACAUAGAACACCAAUUGCGAAGGCAGCUUACUACACAACGAUUGACGCUGAGGCACGAAAGCGUGGGGAUCAAACAGG
rnacentral:rRNA from 1 species